UCGGCCACCAAUGGCUUUAGCCGCCAUUGGUGUUCAUCCUCCUCCAACCGGUCAUCAACACAGGAUACAAAGUAAGAAUCCCACGGGUUUCUGUCUCAUUCACCAUCCGCCUAUCCAAGAAAAGGGGAUGAAAACCAGAAAUCAAGCCAAGCGAAAGCGUCAACCAUAUGAUUUUGUGUAUCCAGGAAAUAAGUAUGCCAUAAACCAGAUUCAAGAAUGUUAUUGGAAUGCUAAAACUGUUGGGAUACCAAUUAGUUCUAUUCCCUUUGAUUCAAGAUUUUAGAUGACAUCAUUCACCUACCUCUCCAUGAACAUCAAUGAUUCGGUUUCCGGUGUAUAUGUGAAUAAAAAUGAUUUCUUGACUUCAAAAGCACACACCCAAGCACUUAUGUAUAGUCAAGGGGUCUCUUUGGUAAAACCAUGUGAUGAUGAAGGACUGAAUGAAAUCCUUUGCUUUACAUUUUUCAAGUCAAGAUGACACGAAUAAGGAAGCUGGAGAUGAUCCAAAAGCAAAUGUUGUUACAAGUGUAUCACUACAAAAUAUUUGGCAAUGAAUUUGUGAUAGAAAUGGUUUGAAGACCUGAUAGGAAAGGCUUGAAGAAUAAAUCAAAGAAUGAUCACACUCACUGUUUAAGAAUGUUGUUAUUUCUAAGAAUUACACUUGUUAUUCUUUCAAAAUGUUGUUAUUAUUCAAUGAAUCACAAUCAUACAAUAUAAUUAUUUGGUAUAUUAUUAGUUCAAAAGUCGAUUUUGUGUA